rnacentral:misc_RNA from 1 species
GUAUUGAUAGCGCGUGAUUGCGCAAAGAACAUUCUACACUAGGGCGUUUGAUGUUAAAAACGUGAGCACCCCGCCCUCCGAGGAAGGGGGGGACGCACGCGGUGAUGCACAAAGGGGUGAGAUGGAUAUUUGUAUGUGAGAGCACUCGGGCGUGCACGACGAAAAGUCAGCGACAACCCGGGUACCCCCAUUGUACGAUAAUGAUCCUUCCGCAGGUUCACCUACGGAAA